GGUUGUUUGGUUGUUUGGUUGGGUUUACUUUAGAAAAUAACAACAGUGAGAAAGAUGAUGGGAAGUAAAGUAAGCAGGUGGCACAAGGUUAAAAACAGGUAAAACUUACAAGAAACCAGUUGACAGAAAUAUUGUUAUAAACUUCAGAAUAACAAGAAAUACUCAUGCUGUAAGUCCAUGUGUUAGUAUGAUCUUAUACUCACAAAAUUAUUUGUGAUUUUGAAGAUCAUCAUUAGGUAAACUUAUAAAUUUUCAUUGUUUAAACCUUAUAGAGCAAUUAAAAUUUUUGAAUUAUAAAUAUCAACAAAACACAGAAGGAUUUGGAGGACCUACCAGAAUUUUUUCUAGAACAGAAUAUGAGUUUUAUAUUUUACAACUUUUAAAUAACAUCACAUGGAUGUAGAUGAUGACUUCAUUUUUAACUUUUUCUUCCAAGUGAAGCUAUGUGUUUAACAGUGUUUACCCAUGAAAAGCUAGAAUAGCCUUCAUCUACAUGUAAACAAGGUAUUUCUGCCAAAAUAUGUGUGUACACUUAUCAGGUUGGCCCUGAUAAGGCAUAGUCUAAACCAACAUCAGAUUACAUCAGAUUAUCCAAGAUGCCAAGAGCCAAUAAGAGUCUCAAAGCACUUAUUUUCCUUGUGCCACUAUGAAUUAUUUAAUGAAACAAUGUGGUUAAAUAUUUUGAUCACAGAGAAACUGUAAUAACAAGUGUCCACUUUUCAGAAUAAUCUGUGAAUUAUUUCUUUCAGUAUAGAGACUGCUCUCAGUAAUAAAUGGUUUGUAACAUUGGACUAAUGUUCUCAAAACUCCAGGUUGAGAUCUCAACUUUGAAAGUAGGAUCUCUAAACACUCUAGAUGGAGCUACACUUCAAUGGUGCUCUCUAAAUAAAUUUAGCCAACAUCAGGAAUAGCGAUGGGGGAACUGACUAGACUGAAACUAUCAAAGUGCAUUCCUUAAAAGGCCACUGGAGAAAUCAACCACUAGUACUUUGGAGAAACUAAGAUGCAGUACAUGCUGACUCCACCUUUGAUACCCUGUCAUUGUGCUAUAGCAUGUUUGGGACCACAUAGCUAAUGAACCAACUGGGCAAACACUCAAUUCUAGAAACCUCUUGAGAAUCCACAUCUGCUUGUUAUGGGAGACUCAUGGGUGAGUAUUUAUACCAUGGAAUAAUGUUGAAUGCUUAACAUGUUUCCUUGCAACUAAGAGGCUACCAAUUAUUAAAAUUCUAGUCCUUAAUAUUAUUUAGAUGUUUAUUUUUGCACUGGGGUUUGAGUACAGGGCCCUGUGUGUUUUCGGUAGAGAAGUGUUCCCACACCAAUCUACAUCUUCAGCCAAAGAAUCGGGAUCAUCUUAUAGACCACUAAGAAAAAGAAUAUUGCUAAUUUUAUGUUUUCAGGACAUUUUGGGAGAUAUAUCUUUAUUUUGGAUAUUAAGAGGUAUAACGAAUAUGUCUUACAAUAGAUCUUUCUCUCCCAUUAAAAUUAUUUUGUUUUUAAACAUACUGUACAGAUUUUAACCCUUUUAUAAUUUCAUAUGGAAGAGGAUAAUAUAAUUUUGCUUCUGU
rnacentral:lncRNA from 1 species